rnacentral:rRNA from 1 species
UCCGGAGGGUGCAAUCGUUAAUCGGAAUUACUGGGCGUAAAGCGCACGCAGGUGGCUGAGUCAGUCGAUUGUGAAAGCCCUGGGCUUAACCUGGGAAUUGCAGUCGAUACUGCUCGGCUAGAGUAUGGGAGAGGGUAGUGGAAUUCCCGGUGUAGCGGUGAAAUGCGUAGAUAUCGGGAGGAACAUCAGUGGCGAAGGCGGCUACCUGGCCCAAUACUGACACUCAGGUGCGACAGCGUGGGGAGCAAACAGG